GACGAACGCUGGCGGCGUGCUUAACACAUGCAAGUCGAACGGAAAGGCCCUGCUUUUGUGGGGUGCUCGAGUGGCGAACGGGUGAGUAACACGUGAGUAACCUGCCCUUGACUUUGGGAUAACUUCAGGAAACUGGGGCUAAUACCGGAUAGGAGCUCCUGCUGCAUGGUGGGGGUUGGAAAGUUUCGGCGGUUGGGGAUGGACUCGCGGCUUAUCAGCUUGUUGGUGGGGUAGUGGCUUACCAAGGCUUUGACGGGUAGCCGGCCUGAGAGGGUGACCGGCCACAUUGGGACUGAGAUGCGGCCCAGACUCCUACGGGAGGCAGCAGUGGGGAAUAUUGCACAGUGGGCGGAAGCCUGAUGCAGCAACGCCGCGGGCGGGAUGACGGCCGUCGGGUUGUAAACCGCUUUCGCCUGUGACGAAGCGUGAGUGACGGUAAUGGGUAAAGAAGCACCGGCUAACUACGUG
rnacentral:rRNA from 1 species